rnacentral:rRNA from 1 species
AUUGAACGCUGGCGGAAUGCUUUACACAUGCAAGUCGAACGAUGAACCUUAGCUUGCUAAGGGGAUUAGUGGCGAACGGGUGAGUAAUAUAUCGGAACGUACCUUGUAAUGGGGGAUAACUAGUCGAAAGAUUAGCUAAUACCGCAUACGCCCUGAGGGGGAAAGUAGGGGAUCUUCGGACCUUACGUUAUAAGAGCGGCCGAUAUCUGAUUAGCUUGUUGGUGGGGUAAUGGCCUACCAAGGCGACGAUCAGUAGCUGGUUUGAGAGGACGACAAGCCACACUGGAACGGAGACACGGUCCAGACUCCUACGGGAGGCAGCAGUGGGGAAUUUUGGACAAUGGGCGCAAGCCUGAUCCAGCCAUUCCGCGUGAGUGAAGAAGGCCUUCGGGUUGUAAAGCUCUUUCGCAAGGGAAGAAAACUUACAUUCUAAUAAAGUGUGAGGCUGACGGUACCUUGAUAAGAAGCACCGGCUAACUACGUGCCAGCAGCCGCGGUAA